rnacentral:Y_RNA from 1 species
GGUUGGUCCGAGUGCAGUGGUGUUUACAACUAGCUGAUCACAACCGGUUACAGAUUCCUUUGUUUCCUCUCCACUCCCACUGCUUCACUUGACCAGCCUUAA